CACGAUUGGGUUAAUUAAAUAAUGAGAGGACAUCUUAUUGGACAUAUGAGCCACAGAAAGAUUUAGAUACCAUUUUCUUUUUCUGCAGCACAGAAAGAUUUGGUUAGAUAUGGUAAAAAUUAUCACCUCUUCCUUGUGCUUAAUCUUUCUGGCUUUCUCCACAGUGCAUGGAGAACCCCAAGAUACCUGCAAAAACUUGAAGUGUGGCGAUAAAGGCCCAGCUGUCCAUUUCCCUUUCAGCCUCAAAGGCAGGCACCCAGAUCACUGUGUCUUUCCUGGGUUUGUCCUGUCAUGCAAUGAGAAGCAUGAAACAAUUCUUGAGCUUCCAAUUCCAUUCAAAUUUCCAGUCAAAAGCAUAGAUUAUAAGGCUCAGGCAAUCCAAUUAUAUGACCCAGAAAGCUGUCUUCUGGUGAAGCUUUUGAAAGUCUUCAACAAGUCAAUCUCUCCCUUCCACUUCUCAAAAAAUUACAUGACUGAUCUUACCUUAUUCAAUUGCUCUUUAGCUGAGAGGCAAUUAGAUGAACAAGUCCCCUGCUUCAGUGGCCCUGGCUACCAAGUUUAUUCUGUUCUCUCUUCAUACAGCAUUGAGGUCUUGCCCCUACUGUCUUGUACAAAGAUGUAUAAUCUCUCAUCAGUUCCAUAUUAUUCAAACGACCCUGACAAUCUUUAUUUGGAGUGGUCUGAACCAAAUUGUGCACAGUGUGAGGCAAAGGGCAAGAUGUGUAGAUUGAAGAACAAUGGCACCAAAAGUGAAAUUGAAUGUGUGGACUUCAGUAAAGCAGGUACGAAAAGGAAAUGGGUGGCUACAGGUGCAUCUCUGGGUUCAUUUGUUGUGUUACUCCUAGUCGUUGCAGCCUACCGUGUCUAUAGUUCUGAUAGAAAAGAAAAGGAGGAUCAGUUAAAGAUUGAAAGAUUUUUAGACGAUUACAGAGCUCUCAAACCUAGCAGAUAUUCAUAUGCAGAUAUUAAGAGGAUUACAAAUGACUUCAAGGACAAGUUAGGGGAAGGAGCCUACGGAACUGUUUAUAAAGGAAUUCUUUCUUCUGAACUCUUUGUUGCUGUGAAAGUCCUCAAUAGUUCUAAGGGAGAUGGGGAAGAGUUCAUCACUGAAGUGGUAACACUGGGUCAUAUCCACCAUGUCAAUGUCAUUCGCUUGGUUGGCUUUUGCGCUGAUGGAUUUAGACGAGCUCUUGUUUAUGAGUUCUUACCAAAUGGUUCACUGCAGGAUUUCAUUUCAUCACCAGACAAUAAGAACAGUUUCCCUGGUUGGGAUAAGAUGCAAGAUAUUGCUCUAGCCAUAGCCAAAGGAAUUGAAUAUCUUCAGCAAGGAUGCGAUCAGCGAAUCCUCCAUUUUGACAUCAAACCUUAUAACAUUUUGCUAGACAACAAUUUCACUCCAAAGAUUUCUGAUUUUGGUUUAGCCAAGUUAUGUUCCAAGGAUCAAAGCAUAGUGUCAAUGACUACAGCUAGGGGCACCAUGGGCUACAUUGCACCUGAAGUGUUCUCCAGGAACUUUGGAAAUGUGUCCUAUAGUUUUGGAAUGUUACUGCUUGAGAUGGUAGGAGGAAGGAAGAAUGUCGGUUCAGCCACGGAGAACACAAAUGAAAUCUACUAUCCCGAAUGGAUUUAUAAUCUUCUAGAAGAAGGAGAUGACCUACGCAUCCAUAUCGGUGAAGAAGGAGAAGGUAAAAUUCCAAAGAAACUUGCAAUUGUAGGGCUCUGGUGCAUCCGGUGGCAUCCAGGGGAUCGUCCUUCAAUGAAAGCUGUGAUUCAGAUGUUGGAAGGAGGAGAAAGCUUAACCAUGCCUCCCAAUCCCUUUGCCUCUACAGGUGCUGCAGGAACCAAUGCAAGUGCGGCUGCAAGAAAUCUAAACAUUCAGUUAGAAGCAAUUCCUGAGUUGGAGUAACAUGUGUUCUUAUACAUAGUUCUUGAUGUUUGUACUUGACUAGCACAUGCCUCAUGGUCCAGCACUACAUAGAAUUUAGAAAUAGGGGCGUUUCAAUGACCCUAACACUGGACCUAUUGCACCACCCAAAUCACUGGCUGCCAAAUCCAAUAUUAUGCAUCACUUGUGCGCAUAAACUAUUGUGUAACAAUCUUGCUUCAAGUCCUUCACCAGCUUCCAUAAAAUUGCCGUUGUCCUGCUUGCUUCAUCAUGUGAUCCUUGAAGUUUUAAAGUUCCCCAAUAAUGUAUCUUGCAGAAAUAUUGUUCUUCUAGUAUUUUAGAGAGUAUCAUGGAAGCCUAACAUACAAGAGUUUAAAGAAUCUCGGCCCUCCCCGUGCAACCCCAGUUGAUUGAGAGAUUAAUUUUGAGAGUUCUCUAGCUUCCAUGACCUUUGGCCUCUUCCAUUAGAAAGAUUUCAUCACGAAGGUCAAUUAUUAGACACAAUUUCAAUUGAGCUGACCGUCGGAGAGUCUUUGAUGAAAAACAGAAACAACUGGUGAAGGUAAAUUUUAAAAUGGGGUCAAUUUAAGAUCGCAUCAUUGUGGUUUGGGCGUGCACACACUGAUUCAUGUCUCUUCAAACUUGGAAAACAAAAAGUUAUACCUCAUUACUCUGACACUCUGAACACCAUUUUCGGCUUUGUACGAAACAAGUCUAUUAUAAAUGUGAUACGCUCUGUUUCUUUUUU